GACGAACCGUGCGAACGUUGUUCGGAAUCACUGGGCUUAAAGGGCGCGUAGGCGGGUUGCCAAGUCGGUGGUGAAAUCGUUCGGCCCAACCGGACAAGUGCCGCCGAUACUGGCAGUCUUGAGGGGGGUAGGGGUCGGGGGAACUGGUGGUGGAGCGGUGAAAUGCGUAGAUAUCACUAGGAACGCCGGUGGCGAAAGCGCCCGACUGGACCCCUUCUGACGCUGAGGCGCGAAAGCCAGGGGAGCAAACGGG
rnacentral:rRNA from 1 species